UAAGCUUCGAAAUAAGGUUCAUGGUAUGAAACAAGGUGAGGUGACUAUUGCUCAGUAUUAUGUUGAAUUGACUGGUUUGUGACAAGAGCUAAACUACCAUCAGGACUUUUAGGCCACAUGUCCUACAAAUGCUGUUAAAUUUUAGAAGUUGGUUGAGAAAGAACGGAUCUAUGAUUUUCUUGCUGGACUAAAUAUGGAGUAUGAUCAAAUAUGGAUUCAGGUUCUUGGUAAGGAGCCCAUGCAUUCCUUAAGGCAAACUUACUCCUAUGUACAGCAGGAGGAAAGUCGCAGAAAUGCCAUGAUUCAUUCUUUACCAGUUGACAAAGCAAGACUAAUAGUUGCUUCCUCUAAAGAACAGUCAUAGGCUACUCAGGGUCCAUCAAAUAAGGAUCAUUUAUACUGUGACUAUUGUAGCAAGUCGAGGCGUACAAAGGAAUAUUGCUGGAAGUUACAUGGUCGUCCAACUAAGGGGUGUGGAGGAAAAAGAUGGGUUCUUCCAAACCUCAGGCACAUGUUUCUGAGAUAGUGGAAUCAUCUGAAGAGGUUUCUGAUAAUGGGAGUUUUUCAAGUUCAUAAAAUUAGACCCUGAAAUGUUUGUUGUCACAACUGGAGUCUAAACCAACCACUGCUACCUCCUAUAACUUUGUCAAGUCAGGUACAUCUCUUCUUGCCAAUCUUGAUAAAUCUUUUUGGGUUAUAGAUUUAGGAGCAAACAAAUAUAUGAUAGGCUCUUUAAACAAAUUUUUGACUUUCCAUACUCAGAAAAAGAAAAAGUCCGUAUAGCGGACGGAUCUUUAACCACUAUUUUUGGUACAGGUUCUGUUACUUGCACUCCUACACUUAACCUUACUUCAAUUCUUCAUGUUCCUACUUUUCCUAUAAAUUUGUUGUCUGUCAGUGCUCUUACUCAAGCCC
rnacentral:misc_RNA from 1 species